GAUGAACGCUGGCGGCGUGCCUAAUACAUGCAAGUCGAGCGAACAGACGAGGAGCUUGCUCCUCUGACGUUAGCGGCGGACGGGUGAGUAACACGUGGAUAACCUACCUAUAAGACUGGGAUAACUUCGGGAAACCGGAGCUAAUACCGGAUAAUAUAUUGAACCGCAUGGUUCAAUAGUGAAAGACGGUUUUGCUGUCACUUAUAGAUGGAUCCGCGCCGCAUUAGCUAGUUGGUAAGGUAACGGCUUACCAAGGCAACGAUGCGUAGCCGACCUGAGAGGGGGAUCGGCGCCACGGGAACUGAGACACGGACCAGACUCCUGCGGGAGGCCGCAGUAGGGAAUCUGACGCAAUGGGCGAAAGCCUGACGGAGCAACGCCGCGUGAGUGAUGAAGGUCUUCGGAUCGUAAUACUCUGUUAUUAGGGAAGAACAAAUGUGUAAGUAACUAUGCACGUCUUGACGGUACCUAGUCAGAAAGCCACGGCUAACUACGUG
rnacentral:rRNA from 1 species